UACAGAGGUCUCAAGCGUUGUUCGGAUUCAUUGGGCGUAAAGGGUGCGUAGGUGGCGCCGGUAAGUCGGGUGUGAAAUCUCGGAGCUUAACUCCGAAAUUGCAUUCGAUACUGCCGUGCUCGAGGACUGGAGAGGAGACUGGAAUUCAUGGUGUAGCAGUGAAAUGCGUAGAGAUCAUGAGGAAGACCAGUGGCGAAGGCGGGUCUCUGGACAGUUCCUGACACUGAGGCACGAAGGCCAGGGGAGCAAACGGG
rnacentral:rRNA from 1 species